CCUACGGGAGGCAGCAGUGAGGAAUAUUGGUCAAUGGACGAGAGUCUGAACCAGCAAAGUAGCGUGAAGGAUGAAUGCUCUAUGGGUUGUAAACUUCUUUUAUAAAGGAAUAAAACGAGGCACGUGUGCAUUUUUGCAUGUACUUUAUGAAUAAGGAUCGGAUAACUCCGUGACAGCAGCCGCGGUAAUACGGAGGAUCCGAGCGUUAUCCGGAUUUAUUGGGUUUAAGGGGAACGUAGAUGGGUUGUUAAGUCAGUUGUGAAAGUUUGCGUCUCAACCGUAAAAUUGCAAUUGAUACUGGCAGUCUUGAGUACAGUUGAGGUAGGCGGAAUUCGUGGUGUAGCGGUGAAAUGCUUAGAUAGCACGAAGAACCCCGAUUGCGAAGGCAGCUUACUAAACUGUGACUGACAUUGAUGCUCGAAAGUGUGGGUAGCAAACAGGAGUAGAUACCCGAGUAGUC
rnacentral:rRNA from 1 species